rnacentral:rRNA from 1 species
AACGAACGCUGGCGGCAUGCCUAACACAUGCAAGUCGAACGAAGGCUUCGGCCUUAGUGGCGCACGGGUGCGUAACGCGUGGGAAUCUGCCCCUAGGUACGGAAUAACAGCGAGAAAUUGCUGCUAAUACCGUAUGAUGACGAAAGUCCAAAGAUUUAUCGCCUAGGGAUGAGCCCGCGUAGGAUUAGCUUGUUGGUGAGGUAAAAGCUCACCAAGGCGACGAUCCUUAGCUGGUCUGAGAGGAUGAUCAGCCACACUGGGACUGAGACACGGCCCAGACUCCUACGGGAGGCAGCAGUGGGGAAUAUUGGACAAUGGGCGAAAGCCUGAUCCAGCAAUGCCGCGUGAGUGAUGAAGGCCUUAGGGUUGUAAAGCUCUUUUACCCGGGAAGAUAAUGACUGUACCGGGAGAAUAAGCCCCGGCUAACUCCGUGCCAGCCGCCGCUGUAA